AAUGACUAAAGUAUGAAUGGGAAUAAAAAGAAAGCACAAUCUCCAGAAGGAAUAAUUAGGAUAUAAUCAGGAUAAGAUAAUGGGUAAAUAGGCCAAGUACAAUGGCUCAUGCCUGUAAUACCAACACUUUGGGAGGCCAAGAGGGCGGAUCACCUGAGGUCGGGAGUUUGAGACCAGCCUGGCCAACAUGGUGAAACCCCAUCUCUACAAAAAUACAGAAAUUAGCCAGGUGUGUGGCAUGUGCCUGUAAUCCCAGCUACUUGGGAGGCAGGAGAAUCGCUUCAGCCUGGGUGGUGGAGGUUGCAAUGAGCAGAGAUCGUGUCACUGCACUCCAGCCUGGGCAACAGAGCAAGACUGCCUCAAAAUAAAUAAGUAAAUAAUAAAUAAUGGGUAAAUAAAGCAGAACAAGGGCAUUCACAGUUGAAGAAUGACACUACAGAUCAGAACUAAGAUUGUCAGCCAGAUAAUUUUGUGAGAGAACAAAGCUAAACCAAAUCACAUCUGAAUUUAUAAAUUCCAGUUCUAAAUCUACGCACAAUUUUUCAUGUUUUCCAUUCCGUACCUUCCAAGUAACUAAUUCCUCUUGAAACCAGUAUCAAAAAUAAGUGUCAUCUUUCAAUGCGACAGAAAUAUUUCUAAAAUACUUAAUAUAAUAGCUGAAUGUACAACACUCAUCGUGCAGCUGUUCCUCCGAUAUCAGU
rnacentral:lncRNA from 10 species